AUUGAACGCUGGCGGCGGGCCUAACACAUGCAAGUAGAACGUGUGGCGGACGUGAGAGUAAUGUCUGAGAAACUGCCUGAUGGAGGGGGAUACCUACUGGAACCGGUAGCUAAUCCCGCAUACCAUCAGAUGUGCCCAGAUGGGCUUAGCUUGUGGGUGGGGUAACGGCUCACCAAGGCAACGACCCCUAGCUGGUCUGAGCGGAUGACCAGCCACACUGGAAUGGGAACACGGUCCAGAUUCCUACGGGGGGCAGCAGUGGGGAAUAUUGCACAAUGGGGGAAGUCCUGAUGCAGCCAUGCGGCGGGGUGGAAGAGGGCCUUCGGUUUGUAAAGUACGGUCAGCGGGGAGGCGUUACCCGCAGAAAAAGCACCGGCUAACUCCGUGCCAGCAGCCGCGGUAAUAC
rnacentral:rRNA from 1 species